AUGGAUCUCAAGUCCGAAGAAUGCACCGGUCUUUUUCCGUCUGGACAUAUCAGGUCUCAACCAUUCCACUUUGCAGGACACUCGUUUUUCCUCCUUGUGGCAUGCAAUCUUAAUGCUCAACUAGGGAUUCACAGUUUUGGACUAUACUUGGGAGUUGAAAAGGAAAUAUCUCUGCCAAUAACCAUUGAGUAUGAAUUUGCAACGAGAACCAGACCUGCAGGUAACUUUGUGUUUAACCGCAGACAAGCCAAUACCUUCACAAGUGAAAACCAUCUACCAGCGGGAUUCCCAAAUGUGUUUAACAUGUCCUGGGAUCAGUUCGCUGCUGAAGCAAGUCCAUUGUUUGUUGACAACAUGUUGUAUCUACGAGUUCAACUGACAGCAAUGCAACUUUAG
rnacentral:rRNA from 1 species